rnacentral:rRNA from 1 species
CUGCGAACGGCUCAUUAGAGCUUAUAUAAAGCUUUCGGCUGCCUUUUAGGCUAUCUUCGACAAAUUGAAGCUAAUACAUGCAAACAUGUCCUUUUCGAAGGGCGCAAUAUUAGAACUACUGGCUCGCCGGCGGUUGAUUUCAAUUAUCGUUUCGAUAUCGGAAGGCGACUUCCGAUGGCCGUAAGCUGUGUACGCCCUAUCACCCAGCAGGUUAAUCAUUCGCUAACCAGGGGUAUUACGGGUAACGGAGAACUAGGGUUCGUCUCCGGAGAAGAAGCCUUUGAAAGGCUACUACAUCCAAGGAAGGCAGCAGGCGCGUAACUUAUCCACUACCACAGUGAGAUAGUAACUAGUCUUAACUAUUGACUGAUCUUUUAGGUUAGUCAUGGUCCAUGAGUUGAGCCUAAAUAGCUCUUCGAGGACCAAGUGGAGGGCAAGUCUGGUGCCAGCAGCCGCGGUAAUUCCAGCU